rnacentral:piRNA from 1 species
GACUUCUUGGUGGCACUCAAGGUG